AUUGAACGCUGGCGGCAUGCCUUACACAUGCAAGUCGAACGGUAACAGGUCUUCGGAUGCUGACGAGUGGCGAACGGGUGAGUAAUACAUCGGAACGUGCCUAGUAGUGGGGGAUAACUACUCGAAAGAGUGGCUAAUACCGCAUGAGAUCUACGGAUGAAAGCAGGGGAUCGCAAGACCUUGUGCUACUAGAGCGGCCGAUGGCAGAUUAGGUAGUUGGUGGGAUAAAAGCUUACCAAGCCGACGAUCUGUAGCUGGUCGGAGAGGACGAUCAGCCACACUGAGACUGAGACACGGCCCAGACUCCUACGGGAGGCAGCAGUGGGGAAUUUUGGACAAUGGGCGAAAGCCUGAUCCAGCAAUGCCGCGUGCAGGAUGAAGGCCUUCGGGUUGUAAACUGCUUUUGUACGGAACGAAAAGCCCUGGGUUAAUACCCUGGGGUCAUGACGGUACCGUAAGAAUAAGCACCGGCUAACUACGUGCCAGCAGCCGCCGUAA
rnacentral:rRNA from 1 species